UCAAAUCUGACACACAAAAUCCCUAAAACAUCUUAACAAAAGCAGCAACAACAGGGAAACAAAAGAACAAGAACAUCAUCCGCUUUUGAAGAAAUUUUUUGGCUUCUUUACAACUUCCAAUCCUGCAAGAAUUAUCAUCUCUAAGAGCAUGGCAAACAAGAAGCAAAAAUCAUCCAAACCUAACAAAAGUUUACAAAAUCUAACACAGCUCAUCUGGAGAAAAAAUCAUCCCCAACCCAUCUCACCUUCAAACCCAACAUAGAAACAUGGUUCUGCUCUUCUCAUAACCUUCUAACCCAACCUAAUUCAAAUCCAGAAACAAGAAGAGUCUGAAAGUAACGAUGAGAGCGAAAAUGUCGUUGUGGACUUCGGUGCUGGAAGUAACGAUGCAGAUGGUGUGGUUGGGGAAGGAGAAGUCGAGGUCAAAUCUCGAGAUUCCAUAGCGAGAUGGAGUAAUCAGAAUACACAGAUAUUGUUGGGAAAGAGAAGAGCCCAAAAAUCAAUUUAUUUGAAAGCUCUACCAAUCUUCAAACCCAGAAAUUGAAAUUGAAGCUAUGGAAGGUAAAUGUUAUUCAUUGAAGACUAAUAAAUGUUUUGUAAGUGAGAUGGUCAAAAUUGAUAUGGUUUGUAAAUGAAAUUAGGAAGUAAGAUCUCUAUUUUUUUUUCCUUUUGUUUUGAUUUCUAGGUUUGGAUCCCUUUUGUGAUGAAUUUCGGUGAUAAAUUUUGGGUUUGAUUAUUGUUGUGUAUGAAUUUUCUUUUUUUUGGUGAAGUGUAUGAAUUUCUUUUAAUUUACUGUGUUUUAUUAUGUUU
rnacentral:lncRNA from 1 species